rnacentral:rRNA from 3 species
GCGACUAAGCGUACACGGUGGAUGCCCUGGCAGUCAGAGGCGAUGAAGGACGUGCUAAUCUGCGAUAAGCGCCGGUAAGGUGAUAUGAACCGUUAUAACCGGCGAUUUCCGAAUGGGGAAACCCAGUGUGACUCGUCACACUAUCAUUAACUGAAUCCAUAGGUUAAUGAGGCGAACCGGGGGAACUGAAACAUCUAAGUACCCCGAGGAAAAGAAAUCAACCGAGAUUCCCCCAGUAGCGGCGAGCGAACGGGGAGGAGCCCAGAGCCUGAAUCAGCAUGUGUGUUAGUGGAAGCGUCUGGAAAGGCGCGCGAUACAGGGUGACAGCCCCGUACACAAAAGCGCAUGUGCUGUGAGCUCGAUGAGUAGGGCGGGACACGUGGUAUCCUGUCUGAAUAUGGGGGGACCAUCCUCCAAGGCUAAAUACUCCUGACUGACCGAUAGUGAACCAGUACCGUGAGGGAAAGGCGAAAAGAACCCCGGCGAGGGGAGUGAAAAAGAACCUGAAACCGU